ACAGCAGCAGCCGCGGUAAAACGGAGGGGGCUAGCGUUGUUCGGAAUUACUGGGCGUAAAGCGCACGUAGGCGGCUUGGUAAGUUAGAGGUGAAAGCCUGGAGCUCAACUCCAGAAUUGCCUUUAAGACUGCCGAGCUAGCAGGUGAGAGAGGUAAGUGGAAUUCCGAGUGUAGAGGUGAAAUUCGUAGAUAUUCGGAAGAACACCAGUGGCGAAGGCGGCUUACUGGCUCAUACUGGACGCUGAGGUGCGAAAGCGUGGGGAGCAAACAGGAUUAGAGACCCCCGUAGUCCCUGUCUCUUAUAC
rnacentral:rRNA from 1 species